GCUCAAAUUUGAAAUCUGGCUCCCUCGGGGUCCGAGUUGUAAUUUGCAGAGGAUGCUUCGGCGAGAGCUCCGGUCUAAGUUCCUUGGAACAGGACGUCGCAGAGGGUGAGAAUCCCGUACGUGACCGGCCGCUCGAGCCAUGUGAAGCUCCUUCGACGAGUCGAGUUGUUUGGGAAUGCAGCUCUAAAUGGGAGGUAAAUUUCUUCUAAAGCUAAAUAUUGGCCGGAGACCGAUAGCGCACAAGUAGAGUGAUCGAAAGAUGAAAAGCACUUUGGAAAGAGAGUUAAAAAGUACGUGAAAUUGUUGAAAGGGAAGCGCUUGCAACCAGACUUGCCCGCAGUUGCUCAUCCGUCCUCCUGGGCGGUGCACUCUUCUGCGGUCAGGCCAGCAUCAGUUCGGGCGGCCGGAUAAAGGCCUCGGGAAUGUAGCUCCCCUCGGGGAGUGUUAUAGCCCGGGGUGGAAUGCGGCCCGCCCGGACUGAGGUCCGCGCUUCGGCCAGGAUGCUGGCGUAAUGGUUGUAAGCGGCCCGUCUUGAAACACGGACCAAGGAGUCUAACAUCUAUGCGAGUGUUUGGGUGUCAAACCCAUGCGCGUAAUGAAAGUGAACGGAGGUGGGAACCCUUUGGGUGCACCAUCGACCGAUCCUGAUGUCUUCGGAUGGAUUUGAGUAAGAGCAUAGCUGUUGGGACCCGAAAGAUGGUGAACUAUGCCUGAAUAGGGUGAAGCCAGAGGAAACUCUGGUGGAGGCUCGCAGCGGUUCUGACGUGCAAAUCGAUCGUCAAAUUUGGGUAUAGGGGCGAAAGACUAAUCGAACCAUUAGCUACUAGGUGGUUAAGAGGCGGCCGCGGGCCGCCUAGUCCCUCAUCCGGGGGCUACACUACUAAAUUGCGG
rnacentral:rRNA from 1 species